rnacentral:lncRNA from 1 species
AUAUUUCUUUUACGGUUAAAAUAUGUCUAUUGAGAAUGUAGAUGCUAUUGAGGCUAUUGCUAUUGCUGUAAUUGAUAGUGCAAUUGAUGUAGGGAGUGAUGAAAUUGAAAAGAAGAAAAAUAAUAAGAAGAGCAAUGAAAAUGAGGAUGCUAUUGAGGCUAUUGCUGUUGUUGAUGGUCAAAUUGAUGUAGGGAGUGACGAAAUUGAAAAGAAGAAAAAGAAGAAAAAGAAGAAGAAGAACAACAACAAAGAGAAUGAGGAGGCUAUUGCUGUUGUUGACGGUGCAAUUGAUGCAGGGGCUGAGGAUGAAACCGAAAAGUAGAAAAGAAAAAGAAAAGAUGCAGCAGAGGAGUAGAUGAGCAG